UAGGGAAUCUUCGGCAAUGGGGGGAACCCUGACCGAGCAACGCCGCGUGAGUGAAGAAGGUUUUCGGAUCGUAAAGCUCUGUUGUUAAGGAAGAACGAGUGUGAGAAUGGAAAGUUCAUGCUGUGACGGUACUUAACCAGAAAGGGACGGCUAACUACGUGCCAGCAGCCGCGGUAAUACGUAGGUCCCGAGCGUUGUCCGGAUUUAUUGGGCGUAAAGCGAGCGCAGGCGGUUAGAAAAGUCUGAAGUGAAAGGCAGUGGCUCGACCAUUGUAGGCUUUGGAAACUGUUUAACUUGAGUGCAGAAGGGGAGAGUGGAAUUCCAUGUGUAGCGGUGAAACGCGUAGAUAUAUGGAGGAACACCGGUGGCGAAAGCGGCUCUCUGGUCUGUAACUGACGCUGAGGCUCGAAAGCGUGGGGAGCGAACAGG
rnacentral:rRNA from 1 species